AUGAGAGGGGGAGAAGGGGAGAGGCUGGGAGUGGGGAAGACAGCUCUCCCGAGGGACAGUCUCUGCAAAAUCCAAAACAAGGUCUCAGUGCCUGCCCUGGUGCUCCGGCUGACGCCAGUGUUUUUUCUGCCCCUUUUAAAACUGAGCUGGAGUGUUCCUGACUCCUCCAUUCGACACCUCCGGCUCCCUUAUUCCCCUUGAUUGAGCUCCAGGAGAAAGGAGAGCCUGGAAUGAGGCCUCAGAUGUCUGCAGCUCUGAAAAGCUGUGAGAGGAACCCCCAGUGAAAGGCUGAAGAAGCAGAUGGGUGACACCCAAACAAAGGCAUGUGCAACACUUUCAGUGGCUUUUUGCUCUAGAGUCCUUGUUUCCUGGGAGUUUUUCUCUCCCCUUAUGAUGGCUGUGAAAGGUGGUCACCAGGGAAAGGCCAGUAUCUAUUAACCUCUUCAGUGCUGUGCAUCUGAGUGAUGCAUCACAAGAGAGCCUACAGGCUGAGACCAAGUGCUCUGUGCUGAUCAGUGCAUUGUAAGACAGAAGUCCUUAUCUGAUAGAUAUGACAGAAGCAUAAGACACACAAAGGAAGUGCAAGAGCUUUCACAUCAGUGUUAAUUAAAAUUCUGCCUGGAUGAUUCCUUAAUAAUGAAUUGAUAAACUUUCAGCAUACUAAUGAUGCCACUGAAGCACUGGAGAAAUAAGCAGCCUGGGAGGGUAAAAUGUUCUAUCAGCUCUCAUAACCAAAGGAUUUUUGCAUCCUUUUUGUUUGCAGACUGCUUAUUUUCUGGUCCUGGUGACUGUUGAAACCAAGUUCCUCAUGUAGAUCACUGCCUGGUUUGCAGCCAUGUGGUUGUUCCAAUGUUCUCUGUCCUGUAAACAUCUCCUAGAACAUGGCACACCACUUCAUCUGUCUCUCAUUAAGUAGAGAAUGUGAUUAUUAUUAUGCACGGAGUUGUCAAGCCAGUCUGGUGUUUGCAGACUUUACCAAGGAUCAGGUGUCCUCCUUCACCACAAUGCCAUCCUCUUCUCAAUAGCUGCCACUGGGAAAGCUAAGGAAUGUGUUGAAAAAUAAUCAAAUAUACAGUACACAAGUGAAAGUGCCGAAAUGCAGGUGGAGUGAGUGUGUGUGUCAGGGAACUACUUAAAGUGUCUGAGAUUUGAAAUCUAUUGAAGCCGAAUUUAAAGUAUCUGCUGGGAUUCUGGCCCAAGC
rnacentral:lncRNA from 1 species